UCACAACAAACUUGGAGAGCUGUGCCUGCCAGAAGAGCGUUUCUCUUGCUGGGAAUGUCAUUUCCAGAAGAUCGGAGGCUGAAAGCUUGGAGAGGAGGGAGGGACCACGUAGGCUGAAUCAUAGGGGUUGGAAGGUGUCACUCCACUGCAGCUCCACCACAUCCUGGCUGCCAGGAAGUGAGCAGCUUCCCUCCGAGGUGUCCUUCCUGUGAUGUGCUGCCUUACCUUGGGCCAGAACAUUGGACUGGCUGUCUAAAAAACAGAAACUAUGAACCGCAAAUAAACUUUUCCUCCUCUAA